CAAUUUAAACAACGAAGAGUUUGAUCCUGGCUCAGGAUGAACGCUAGCGACAGGCUUAACACAUGCAAGUCGAGGGGCAGCACAGGUAGCAAUACCGGGUGGCGACCGGCGCACGGGUGAGUAACGCGUAUGCAACUUACCUAUCAGAGGGGGAUAACCCGGCGAAAGUCGGACUAAUACCGCAUGAAGCAGGGGCCCCGCAUGGGGAUAUUUGCUAAAGAUUUAUCGCUGAUAGAUAGGCAUGCGUUCCAUUAGGCAGUUGGCGGGGUAACGGCCCACCAAACCGACGAUGGAUAGGGGUUCUGAGAGGAAGGUCCCCCACAUUGGUACUGAGACACGGACCAAACUCCUACGGGAGGCAGCAGUGAGGAAUAUUGGUCAAUGGGCGCGAGCCUGAACCAGCCAAGUCGCGUGAGGGAUGAAGGUUCUAUGGAUCGUAAACCUCUUUUAUAAGGGAAUAAAGUGCGGGACGUGUCCCGUUUUGUAUGUACCUUAUGAAUAAGGAUCGGCUAACUCCGUGCCAGCAGCCGCGGUAAUACGGAGGAUCCGAGCGUUAUCCGGAUUUAUUGGGUUUAAAGGGUGCGUAGGCGGCCUUUUAAGUCAGCGGUGAAAGUCUGUGGCUCAACCAUAGAAUUGCCGUUGAAACUGGGGGGCUUGAGUAUGUUUGAGGCAGGCGGAAUGCGUGGUGUAGCGGUGAAAUGCUUAGAUAUCACGCAGAACCCCGAUUGCGAAGGCAGCCUGCCAAGCCAUGACUGACGCUGAUGCACGAAAGCGUGGGGAUCAAACAGGAUUAGAUACCCUGGUAGUCCACGCAGUAAACGAUGAUCACUAGCUGUUUGCGAUACAGUGUAAGCGGCACAGCGAAAGCGUUAAGUGAUCCACCUGGGGAGUACGCCGGCAACGGUGAAACUCAAAGGAAUUGACGGGGGCCCGCACAAGCGGAGGAACAUGUGGUUUAAUUCGAUGAUACGCGAGGAACCUUACCCGGGUUUGAACGCAUUCGGACCGAGGUGGAAACACCUUUUCUAGCAAUAGCCGUUUGCGAGGUGCUGCAUGGUUGUCGUCAGCUCGUGCCGUGAGGUGUCGGCUUAAGUGCCAUAACGAGCGCAACCCUUGCCACUAGUUACUAACAGGUAAAGCUGAGGACUCUGGUGGGACUGCCAGCGUAAGCUGCGAGGAAGGCGGGGAUGACGUCAAAUCAGCACGGCCCUUACAUCCGGGGCGACACACGUGUUACAAUGGCGUGGACAAAGGGAUGCCACCUGGCGACAGGGAGCGAAUCCCCAAACCACGUCUCAGUUCGGAUCGGAGUCUGCAACCCGACUCCGUGAAGCUGGAUUCGCUAGUAAUCGCGCAUCAGCCAUGGCGCGGUGAAUACGUUCCCGGGCCUUGUACACACCGCCCGUCAAGCCAUGGGAGCCGGGGGUACCUGAAGUCCGUAACCGCGAGGAUCGGCCUAGGGUAAAACUGGUGACUGGGGCUAAGUCGUAACAAGGUAGCCGUACCGGAAGGUGCGGCUGGAACACCUCCUUUCUGGA
rnacentral:rRNA from 1 species